AGGGUGACAGCCCCGUACACAAAAAUGCACAUACUGUGAGCUCGAUGAGUAGGGCGGGACACGUGGUAUCCUGUCUGAAUAUGGGGGGACCAUCCUCCAAGGCUAAAUACUCCUGACUGACCGAUAGUGAACCAGUACCGUGAGGGAAAGGCGAAAAGAACCCCGGCGAGGGGAGUGAAAAAGAACCUGAAACCGUGUACGUACAAGCAGUGGGAGCCUCUUUAUGGGGUGACUGCGUACCUUUUGUAUAAUGGGUCAGCGACUUAUAUUCUGUAGCAAGGUUAACCGAAUAGGGGAGCCGAAGGGAAACCGAGUCUUAACUGGGCGUUAAGUUGCAGGGUAUAGACCCGAAACCCGGUGAUCUAGCCAUGGGCAGGUUGAAGGUUGGGUAACACUAACUGGAGGACCGAACCGACUAAUGUUGAAAAAUUAGCGGAUGACUUGUGGCUGGGGGUGAAAGGCCAAUCAAACCGGGAGAUAGCUGGUUCUCCCCGAAAGCUAUUUAGGUAGCGCCUCGUGAAUUCAUCUCCGGGGGUAGAGCACUGUUUCGGCAAGGGGGUCAUCCCGACUUACCAACCCGAUGCAAACUGCGAAUACCGGAGAAUGUUAUCACGGGAGACACACGGCGGGUGCUAACGUCCGUCGUGAAGAGGGAAACAACCCAGACCGCCAGCUAAGGUCCCAAAGUCAUGGUUAAGUGGGAAACGAUGUGGGAAGGCCCAGACAGCCAGGAUGUUGGCUUAGAAGCAGCCAUCAUUUAAAGAAAGCGUAAUAGCUCACUGGUCGAGUCGGCCUGCGCGGAAGAUGUAACGGGGCUAAACCAUGCAC
rnacentral:rRNA from 1 species